UACGGAGGGGGCAAGCGUUAUUCGGAAUUAUUGGGCGUAAAGGGCCCGUAGGCGGCUAGAUGUGUCAAAGGUGAAAUCCCUCGGCUCAACUGAGGAACUGCCUUUGAAACUGUCUGGCUUGAGGCCGGGAGAGGGUAGCGGAAUUCCCAGUGUAGCGGUGAAAUGCGUAGAUAUUGGGAGGAACACCAGUGGCGAAGGCGGCUACCUGGACCGGUUCUGACGCUGAGGCGCGAAAGCGUGGGUAGCGAACAGG
rnacentral:rRNA from 1 species